AUGAGCGGGCGAGGUAGGCGACAAUGUCAGUGAGGCAGUAGUCGCAGCCUGGAGGUGAGGGAGUGUGUGCGUUGUGGUUGGUGGUCUGCUCGCUGGGCUAGUUUCAUUAAGUGGGUCACUGUACGGCCAAUACUCUCGCUACUAUAGUAAGACUUGUUAGCCAAGAGUCCCAGCACCUGGGGUUGUCACUGAGGCAGCCGAGAUGGUGGAAACCAGAGAUGAAGCUGGGAUGGCUGCUGUCCAGCCAGUAUCUCCAGCUAUACAGGGACAGCUUGAUAAACAAGAAAUGGAAAAAGAGAAUUCUCUAAAGGCAGAAUUAAAACCUGUUAACCCUGCAGAAAUAGAAAGGUCCAAAAAAGUGGUGACCUCACAGACAGAAGAUUCAACAGAAUCAGGGGUAACAGAAGUCAAUAAAGUGACUGAAAAAGAAUUGCUUAUAAAUAACAAGGUAGAUACUGGUGUUGAGGCAGUACUGAGGAUGGACAGGAGGAUUGUGCCAGAAGGUGAAGAUGGCAGCCUCCCCCAAGCAUUAGCAGCUGAGGCAGAGUGGGAUCUCCAUGAAAAACCUGAAUGGGUUGACCGGGAUGUGCAAGCACUUAGGGAGAUGGUAGAGGCAGAGCCAACAUUGCGCUCGCGCCUAGACAAGGCCUUUCUCCUUGCAUUCCUGAGGGCCCGCAAAUUUGACUAUGACAAGGCCAUGUCUAUGAUCCGCAGUUAUUAUCGAGCAAGGCAGGAGAAUGCAGAUAUGUACGUCAAUCUGCACCCUACUGCACUGGAUCAUGUGUGGCCUCUACAUAUGCAGACUGUCCUUCAAACACCAGAUUGCUUAGGCAGGACUGUUCUCAUCUUCAGAACAGGAGCAUGGCUGCCAGAGGUGUGCAGCCUAGAUGAUGUGUUUAGGUCUCAAGUUGUGCUAUUGGAACACGUUGUGAGGCUACCAGUCACACAGCUUCGGGGAAUUGCAGCUGUUGUAGACUGUGCUGGGCUUUCCAUGACUCACGCUUAUUACCUCACACCUACUCACAUAAGAAGAAUGAUUUCGGUUAUACAGGAAGUGUUCCCCCUGAGGUUUAAGGCUUUGCACUUUGUACACGAACCAGCUAUAUUUGACUGGGUCUUCAGCCUUAUAAAGCCAUUUCUCUCGGACACUAUAAAAGGACGGCUGCAUUUUCAUGGAGAAGAUCUUCACUCUCUCCAUCAACACAUUCCAGCUGAAGAGUUACCAGAGGAGCUGGGAGGAAGUAUAGGUCCUAUGGACAAUACUUUCUUCGUGGAAAAUUUGAAGCUACAUGAAGAGUACUUUAAAGGCGCUUGGUGUCAACAAAGUGGAGUAAAUUCUACCAUCAGAGGGUUUCUAGAGAAUCUCAUCUAUAUGGAUGCACUAAGUCUCCAAGGAAAUUAUUUUCUUUGAAAAUAUGUGGUGGCCUUACACAACUUCAGAAGCAUUUGUACAAAAUUGUUCACUACAACUGCUGAGGCAAGAACACUUUACGUACGGCUUUGAGGCAUGUGAGGAGCCUCAGAGGCAGGGGACGAUGAUGGAAGCUGUGACAGAUGUGGGAAGUUUUAUUGGUAGCUACUACAGGAGAAUGUGUAUAGACUAGUGCUAGCAACUGUGCACUAGUAACGUCUAGUGCUACUGACAUGAUUAUAACAAUAAUAGUGAUACUGUGAUUAAUAGAUUGGUGUACUAAAUUAGAUAAGUUCUCAGGGAAAGACAUUGACUUGGUUUAGAGAAUUUUCACAAAGGCUUUCAUUAACUGGCACAGUGUUAAUGAAAACUUGAGCGAUGACUAGUGUAAUGAUAAAAGCUGAAAAUAUGAAAUUUUAAUAUUUAAUGUAAAUGUUGUAGUGUACACUAGUCUGCCCUAGCAAGUGAUCAAUAUAUAAAAUUUUUAAUUUAAAGAUGCAUAAUACUGUACCUUAAAGUAGCAAAGCUCUGUCAAAGGUCUAAAACUUUUGACAAAUGUUUGAAUGCUAUAUUUGUAAAAUAGCCUAUUGUAGUAGAUUUUGACAUGGUGUCUGUACCACAUUUGUAUACCUUACUUGACAGAUGAAUUUACUUGCCAGUAAUACUUUAAGCAUGCAUUUUCUUGGGUAGCAGUCAUGAACCCCGAGUUUUGAGAAUAUAUUUGUACAAAUUUUACUAGUAUUAGUUCUAAAUAUUUCAUAAUUAAGGUCAUCACUUGCUGUAUAGAAUAGAACAAUCUUUGUAAUGAAUGGCAAAUUUUUUAAUAAAAAUCUUGGGGGAAAAAAAAAAAAACUAAGUAAAGUUACUUUCUAAAAUAAUUUGUAAACUAAAGAAAUUAAUGUGCAUGACAAUACAUGUACUGCACUCUUGGAAAUUUGUUAAUCAUUGUUGAAUCUUGGACUUUACAACCACAGCUUUGCAUUAAUUUUAAAUGUGGUUUGUGUACAAAUUCAUUAGUUUUGACCCGUUUCAUUCAGUACUUGUACAGUGUACAUAAAAUUUCUUACUAAAACUUUGUUCAGUGUAAAGUUAUGACAAUUUGAUAAAUUUCACAUUGUUUCUCAUGUAUUUUAUAUACUGUAAUUAUAAGUUUUGGGGUUUAAAUAACCCCCACAAUUGAUGCACAGCAUGUUGACGGUAAAGAAAGAUUACCUUAUAUAAGAGUGGCUCUUGCCAGUUGUGGCCACCUUAAGGAAAUCCACCUUAUCUAUGAAUUAUGUAGAAGCUAGGCCUGACAACUUUGCCUUUUGAAAGGAAAGAUUGUCAAAUCAUUUAAUUUGUCCUGUAUGCAGCUAAAAUUCAAAGUGGACCAAUGUUCAAAGUUUAGUGUCCAACCUUGAUAUCUUAAGCUUCAGAGAAGUUUUGCCAGUGACGCAUGACAAUGUAAAUUUGUGUGAAUGUUAUGUAGAUGAUUGGAUAGCAUGCAUGAAUUUUAAACUGUUUGCAUCACCAUUUUAGAUAGACUUGGUGGAAAAUUGUAUUUAAAAUUUUAGCAACUUGUGAGCUAAACAUGCUGGUUUUAACAAAUUUAAUGGAAACGGUAACCUUUCUGUAUAUAUUAUUGUACCCCCGGCUGGUAUAGGUGCAGCACAAAUUUAAAUAGCCCUAGUACUUGUAGGUGCUACAUAUUAAAAUUAAUUUGUCACUGUGCUUUAAAGAUUAGCAAGUUUUUUGUAUUUGCAAACCAGGUUUUGUGAAACAAAUUGGUGCAUGUAAAGCUUAGUUAAAGUAUUGGUGUUUGUUAUUCAAACUACAGUGGCUGUUGAACUGUCUUCCCCUAUGUGUAGUUCAUCAGUGGCAUUUCUUUAUUGUAAAGAAUUUUUAUAACAGGGUGAAUAAAUGUUUACAAAUUGUG